GGAGGCGUUCAGGUAGCUGGUGCUCCUCGCGGUCUUCAACACCGACGUGACGCGGUAUCCGGGUCAGGCGGGUUCGAUUCCCGUCCGCCUCCGCCA
rnacentral:tRNA from 1 species